rnacentral:rRNA from 1 species
GAUGAACGCUGGCGGCGUGCCUAAUACAUGCAAGUCGAGCGAACAGACGAGGAGCUUGCUCCUCUGACGUUAGCGGCGGACGGGUGAGUAACACGUGGAUAACCUACCUAUAAGACUGGGAUAACUUCGGGAAACCGGAGCUAAUACCGGAUAAUAUAUUGAACCGCAUGGUUCAAUAGUGAAAGACGGUUUUGCUGUCACUUAUAGAUGGAUCCGCGCCGCAUUAGCUAGUUGGUAAGGUAACGGCUUACCAAGGCGACGAUGCGUAGCCGACCUGAGAGGUGGGGAGGCCACAAGGGAGCGGAGCUCGGGUGGGGGAUAAGGCCGGAGGGAGCAAGACGGAUUGGGCCAGGAGGGUCUAAGGCUUGAAGGAUAAUAGACGCGGGAAAGAUGAAGGUUUUAGGAUCGUAGGACUUUCGUAGUAGGGCAUAACAAAAGAGCAAGGCCCUAUGCACGGCUAGACGCCGCGUAAUCAGAUAGCCACAGCGAGCAACACG